rnacentral:lncRNA from 10 species
GGAAGAUCCCUUAGGGCAUCUCUUAGUACUACCAAACCCUGUGAUUAAAGUCAAUGAGAAAUUACAACAACCCAAUCCAAGCAGGACUACAAUUGACCCAGACCCUUCAGGAAUGAAGGUUCACCCCACCAGACGCAUGUAACAUUUGGUGCUGAAACCCAAGACAGGGGACUCCUUCAGAAGACCAGCCCCCUGUCCUCACCCUCAGUCCGGGAGGAGAUCCACCUACGACCUCGGGUCCUCAGACCAGCCCAAGGAACAUCUCACCAAUUUCAAAUUGGGACCCCACUGGAAGUCGGACCAUCCAACUUGGAUUACAGCUGCUCCUAGACCUACUGGAGCAAAAAGCUAAGGCUCCUGGCUGAUUCCUUCCCAGAUCUCCUCGGCUUAGUGGCUAAAGACUGACGCUGCCAAAUCAUCUCGGAAGCCCCCUGGACCAUCACGGAUGCCGAGCUUCGGAUAACUCCUACAGUGGAGGAUGGCCUGGAGCAACUGAAGAACCACAAAAGAAGUGAAACAGCCAGUUCCUGCCUUAACUGAUGACAUUCCACCAUUGUGAUUUGUUCCUGCCCCACCCUAACUAAUCAAUCGACCUUGUGACAUUCCUCCCCUGGACAAUGAGUCUCAUGAUCUCCCCACCCUGCACCUUGUGUCCCCCAUCCCUGCCUGUAAGAGAUAACCACCUUUAACUGUAAUUUUCCACUACCUACCCAAAUCCUAUAAAACUGCCCCACCCCUAUUUCCCUUUGCUGACUCCUUUUUCGGACUCAGCCCACCUGCACCCAAGUGAAUAAACAGCCUCAUUGCUCACACA